GAUGAACGCUGGCGGCGUGCCUAAUACAUGCAAGUCGAGCGAACAGACGAGGAGCUUGCUCCUCUGACGUUAGCGGCGGACGGGUGAGUAACACGUGGAUAACCUACCUAUAAUACUGGGAUAACUUCGGGAAACCGGAGCGAAUACCGGAUAAUAUAUUGAACCGCAUGGUUCAAUAGUGAAAGACGGUUUUGCUGUCACUUAUAGAUGGAUCCGCGCCGCAUUAGCUAGUUGGUAAGGUAACGGCUUACCAAGGCAACGAUGCGUAGCCGACCUGAGAGGGUGAUCGGCCACACUGGAACUGAGACACGGUCCAGACUCCUACGGGAGGCAGCAGUAGGGAAUCUUCCGCAAUGGGCGAAAGCUUGACGGAGCAACGCCGCGUGAGUGAUGAAGGUCUUCGGAUCGUAAAACUCUGUUAUUAGGGAAGAACAAAUGUGUAAGUAACUAUGCACGUCUUGACGGUACCUAAUCAGAAAGCCACGGCUAACUACGUG
rnacentral:rRNA from 1 species